UACGUAGGGGGCAAGCGUUGUCCGGAAUCAUUGGGCGUAAAGAGCGUGUAGGCGGCUUGGUAAGUCCGCUGUGAAAGUCCAGGGCUCAACCCUGGAAGGCCGGUGGAAACUGUCAAGCUUGAGUCCGGAAGAGGCGAGUGGAAUUCCUGGUGUAGCGGUGAAAUGCGCAGAUAUCAGGAGGAACACCAAUGGCGAAGGCAGCUCGCUGGGACGGUACUGACGCUGAGACGCGAAAGCGUGGGGAGCAAACAGG
rnacentral:rRNA from 1 species